rnacentral:rRNA from 1 species
UACGAAGGUGGCGAGCGUUGUUCGGAAUCACUGGGCUUAAAGCGCGCGUAGGCGGAAGAGAAAGUGUGGAGUGAAAUCCCCCGGCUUAACCGGGGAACUUGUCUGCAAACUUCUCUUCUUGAGGCAAGUAGGGGUACAUGGAACUCUUGGUGGAGCGGUGGAAUGCGUAGAUAUCAAGAGGAACGCCGAUGGUGAAGACAGUGUACUGGCCUUGUCCUGACGCUGAGGUGCGAAAGCGUGGGGAGCGAACGGGAUUAGAUACCCCUGUA